rnacentral:lncRNA from 1 species
CUUCAGGAGCGAGUUAGAAAUAUGGAAGGCCAAGAAAAGUAUUCUUUAGUCAAAAUUCGAUCGGAUUUAUAAACUUUAGAAUUGUACUCAUUCAUGGACGUAAUCAUAGUGUGCUUCAAGCAAUGUUUUUCAUGAUUAGACGGUCUAUAGGAGCGAGCCAAAGAGCCAUGGAAUCCUCGUUCGGGAGGUAUUUCCAUUUGUAAUGCUUCAGCCAUAAGUCUUUGAAUGAAAAUCAUGGCAGAGGCUUAUUCAACUCUUCCAUGCCAUUGUUGGCUACAAUGGUUUCUCAACUUCUUGAUAAUCAAGUGGAGAUUCACGUCUUGUACCCCACAUAAAGUGGUUUCUAUUAGAAGCGUCCAAUUUAGGAAAAUCGAACUUUUGACAGUUCGACAAUCCACUGAAUUGGAGGGAACAAGAUUGUGAUUAGUGUUAUGGGAAUGAAUCAUCCAUAAGCAUCAAAGUUAGAACAUUCGAGUUCUAAGACAUGGUUUUCAUGAAAAAUGUC